rnacentral:misc_RNA from 1 species
UCUCCGUAGGUGAACCUGCGGAGGGAUCAUUAAGAAUUGAACAGCAGUGUCUGGCACUGUUGCCCAUUCUAACCCUUUGUGAACUUACCUUUGUUGCCUCGGCGGGGCCUACCCGGUACCGACCCCUUUUGGGCGAAGUUACCCUGUAGCCCGCCGGUGGAUUUUCAAACUCUUGUUAUUUUAAUGUUAUCUGAGCGUCUUAUUUUAAUAAGUCACAACUUUCAACAACGGAUCUCUUGGUUCUGGCAUCGAUGAAGAACGCAGC